AAUAAUUAAAAAAAAUAUUUAUAAUAAAUACUUAUUGCUGCUGAGAACAAAAAAACAAAUACUACAAACAAUAUUCUUUUUGUGGAUUAGCCGUAUUAAAUCAAUGUUGUGGUUUAAAAAAUUAAUAAUAUUCAUCAUAAUUACCAAAAGCUCAUAACACAUAUGUGUUUAUGCAUUUAUUAUCAGGAUUUAUGCUAAUUAAAAAUUAAAUCAACUGAUUCGAAUUGAAACAUUACUAAUUGGAUAAUAUUAAACCAUUUACCGUUUUGCCAUAAAAUAAAGUGAACAUUCAACAUUUUGACAUUUAAUUAUGAGAGAUUUUUAUGUAAGUACAA